rnacentral:rRNA from 1 species
GACGAACGCUGGCGGCGUGCCUAAUACAUGCAAGUCGAGCGAGCGAACCUAACAGAUUUACUUCGGUAAUGACGUUAGGAAAGCGAGCGGCGGAUGGGUGAGUAACACGUGGGGAACCUGCCCCAUAGUCUGGGAUACCACUUGGAAACAGGUGCUAAUACCGGAUAAGAAAGCAGAUCGCAUGAUCAGCUUUUAAAAGGCGGCGUAAGCUGUCGCUAUGGGAUGGCCCCGCGGUGCAUUAGCUAGUUGGUAAGGUAAAGGCUUACCAAGGCGAUGAUGCAUAGCCGAGUUGAGAGACUGAUCGGCCACAUUGGGACUGAGACACGGCCCAAACUCCUACGGGAGGCAGCAGUAGGGAAUCUUCCACAAUGGACGCAAGUCUGAUGGAGCAACGCCGCGUGAGUGAAGAAGGUUUUCGGAUCGUAAAGCUCUGUUGUUGGUGAAGAAGGAUAGAGGUAGUAACUGGCCUUUAUUUGACGGUAAUCAACCAGAAAGUCACGGCUAACUACGUG